rnacentral:rRNA from 1 species
CCUACGCGAGGCAGCAGUAGGGAAUUUUCCACAAUGGGCGAAAGCCUGAUGGAGCAACGCCGCGUGGGUGAAGAAGGUCUUCGGAUCGUAAAACCCUGUUGUUAGAGAAGAAAGUGCGUGAGAGUAACUGUUCACGUUUCGACGGUAUCUAACCAGAAAGCCACGGCUAACUACGUGCCAGCAGCCGCGUUAAUACGUAGGUGGCAAGCGUUAUCCGGAUUUAUGGGGCGUAAAGGGAACGCAGGCGGUCUUUUAAGUCUGAUGUGAAAGCCUUCGGCUUAACCGGAGUAGUGCAUUGGAAGCUGGGAGACUUGAGUGCAGAAGAGGAGAGUGGAACUCCAUGUGUAGCGGUGAAAUGCGUAGAUAUAUGGAAGAACACCAGUGGCGAAAGCGGCUCUCUGGUCUGUAACUGACGCUGAGGUUCGAAAGCGUGGGUAGCAAACAGGAUUAGAUACCCCGGUAGUC